rfam:Picea glauca, whole genome shotgun sequence.
ACAUGCCUACAACAUAGUGUCAAUGCAUUGGAUCCCAUUAGAACUCCGCAGUUAAGCACUCUUAUGCUAGAGUAGUAUUGGGAUGGGUGAUUUCCCGGGAAGUCCUAGUGUUUUACAUGCC